AACAGGUCAAACAGCAAGUUCAGGUAUGAACAUUACAAAAACACACUUAGAAGAAGAUGACCCUCGGGAAUUGGACAGUUAGGAAGCAUACAGGAAAAGAAAGAAGACUAGACAUCACUUCAAAGGAAGAAAACAGCUUCAUCUUAAUGAAUGAAAUGGACAGAAGCAGAACUGAAGGAGAUGCAUGAGGAAUAUUUCAAAGAAUGCCUGAACACAACCACUACUCCUGGAAGACAACAUAGCAAUAUUGCAAUAUAAAAGAGCAGGGUCAAUGGAGGUUUCAUACAGUAUAGGCCAUGGGGGACCCUGAAGAAGAAAGUAUUGAACAAUAACAAAAAUAAAAACAUUUUGACAUUUAUUGUAAUACAGGAUUAAAACCGUACCUGUAAAAUUUUUGCAUGUAAUGACUUUUCUCUUGCUCUACAACUAAUUACAGUGAGUAUUUGAUUGAAUAUCUUGAUCCCAAUUUGUCAGAUUUUGACAUAGUGGCAUAGUGCAUAAAAUUGUUUAAAGUUUUGAUACGAAGAAUUUCAUACAUUGUACUUGUAUCUGAGUUUAAGUUAACAAUGAAAAGUUUAGUUCCUGGUGCAACAUACUGUUUUAUUUCCGGAAAAAUUUGUUUGUGAUUUCAAACUCAGGUUAAUGAGGUUAUAUCUUUUAACAUCGGUGACUAUAAAAUUCAUUCCUUAAAUAUAGAAGUACAUGUACCUGAUACAAAUAGGAAUUUUUAUAAUUCUUG